CAGCCGCCACGGUAAUACGGAGGGUGCAAGCGUUAAUCGGAAUUACUGGGCGUAAAGCGCACGCAGGCGGUUUGUUAAGUCAGAUGUGAAAUCCCCGAGCUUAACUUGGGAACUGCAUUUGAAACUGGCAAGCUAGAGUCUUGUAGAGGGGGGUAGAAUUCCAGGUGUAGCGGUGAAAUGCGUAGAGAUCUGGAGGAAUACCGGUGGCGAAGGCGGCCCCCUGGACAAAGACUGACGCUCAGGUGCGAAAGCGUGGGGAGCAAACAGGAUUAGAUACCCCGGUAGUCCCUGUCUCUUAUAC
rnacentral:rRNA from 1 species